GCCCCUUGCUGACCUUUCUGUGUCAUCUUUUGAAUACUGAACACUCUCUCACUGCCCAGGCUCCCUCUUCCUGGUUUACCGUGGCCCCAUUUUCCAACAGACCUAGAGUCUUCCUUUCCAUGCUAUAAGCCUAAAGUGGUAGGUGAUAAUGUGAAUUUCAGAUGCCUCAAUCAGUGGGACACAUAUUUUUUAGUUAGAAAGCAGGCACCCCUUUGGGUGUGUCUCAAAUCAUAGAACAUACAGGGAACUACCUACCUUUUUAUGUGUAACACUUUCCUUCUAAAAAGACCAAAUGGGACAUUAUAUCUGAAUUGCCAUUCAAUUCUUUUUCUUUAUACAAACAUUUAUCUCUCUACUUGGCCCGUAAAAAUAAAAAAUAAAAAGUAAGAGGAUGUGUAGCAAUCGGCCCCUUCACAUUCUUGCCAGGAUGAUGAUUCAGGGCCCUAAUAGGCACAUGACUUUCAGGCUUUCCCCUGUGUCACUUUUCCACUGCAUCUCAUUUAGUGCAUGUGCUAAUCCCCAAAAAUCCUAAGUGUAAUAAUUUGUGAAAUUUUCUAUGACUGUAAAGAUGCAUAAAGUUUUAAUACCCUCCAUGGACAAAAGUCCAUUUUCUUUUUUUUUGUUUCCUUGUUUUUGCUGAUAGUAACUUAAUAAGCAAAGAGUAAACUGUUAUCCCUUUAAUUGAUCUCCACUGGUUCAUUCAUAGGAGGCUUUUAGAAAUGCACUUAUUAUAUAAUUAACAGAGAUUUGUGACUCCUUUGUAAGUCGUUGGCCAUAAAAGGCUUUGUUUAAUAAUCACAGUCAUGUCUUCUGUUACUCUGUGUCAACAGCACAGUGUCACGCUCAGAGACUGCUUUCUUACAGUCUCAGCAAUCUCUUUGGUCUUUUAUGCCUCUCCUUAAGUUCUCUCAAGAUCUGUUCUCUUCAAGAUCCAGGUGCUUCUGCUGUUCUACUCAAUUGUUAAAAGAAAGAAAGAGAGAGAGAGAGAGAAAGAAAGAAAGAAAGCAUCAUAAUUUUUAAGAAGAUUGGAAUCACCAGGACUUGUUUUCUUACCCAUUUCUCUCUUACUUCUAUAAUACUCAUAUUCUGUGGCUUUAGAGAAGUCCUCCUACUCUGAGAUUAAAAACUCUAAUUUGUAACUUAAGCCAUUAUAAAAUGUAUGCUAGAGGAUAAUUCUGGUUUUUAAAUAUGGUACUUAUAAAUACAGCAUUAUUAGAAGUCAAGAAUGUUUCCAACUUCUGUGUUUGUCAUAUAUUUGUCUAGGCCUCUAUAGUAAACUGCUUUACCCUUGACCUCUAGCUACGUUUUCUCCUCCUUCUUCUAAUUGCUCCAAGCUUUCUUCUUAGGUCAUUGCAAGCUGUCCUACUUCUUCCCUGGUACACUUAUGUUCUGUAUACUUGGACUGCCUGCCUGUUCUCAGUUUAUUUCUCAUCCUUAUUUGGAAAGUACAGAACUUGAGAAUGGUAAACAAAAUCGACAUUCUUUGUUAUUUGGUAGGCAAGUAGCUAAUUUAAGAAUUAAAAUAGAAGUAUAAAUUAUUAUAAGAGUUAUAAGUGGUUGAGUGCCAAUUUUGUGCUUUUAGCUGUAGAAAAGAAAAUCAUUUUCUUACAAAACUGUGACUAUACACUGUUGGUAAUAAAAUAUUCAUGCUAAUCAUGUUCAUAAGAUUGUAACAGAAAUGCUGAUAUUCUAAUAUCUCCAUUUCUCCCCCUAUGGUACUUAGUAAACUAUGGAACUAGAUACUAGUCUAGAGCAUUUUUUUCUUUCUCAUAUUAUAUUAUAGGUCAUUCUAAUACUAAUUGUAACUAAAAAGUAAGCAUUUUCUAAAACUAUUUCUAUUACCAAUGAAAAAUUGUGUUGAAUGCUAAUACUAAUUAUUUGUCAAUGGUAACCUUUUGUUAAAAGAAUUAAUUCUUUUGUUCAUACUAGGCAGGACAGAAACUGAACUGGCAAGAGAGACAGAUAAAUCUAAAUUUCUGUAGCACUUUUUUCUCUCAAUAUAAAUAUUUAAUUAUGUAAUGAGAAAUUCUUAUGAAAAAUUGUGACAUACAAUGGGAUUGAUUCUUUCUCUGUAAGUAGGGCACUAGUCAUGUAUCUGAGAAAGAAAUUAAAACUUUUAAAGUAUUUUUAAGUGAUGGAUCUAUUCUAGGCACUUUAAAAUAUUCUCUUUAAUUGUCACUGUACCCUACAAACUAGAUAUUAUCAUCCCUAUUUCACAGAUGAGUAAUUAAGGUGAAAUAACUUGCCCACAGCUGCACAGUUAAUACUAGGAAGAGCCAGAGGUAUGACACAAGGCUGAUUCUAAAGCUCAUGUCCUUUCCAUCUUCUUAAAAUAGGCCCCUCUGCUCAUUCUUCAGGAGAAAAUCAGCCUUGCGAUAUAUUAUAAUACCUACCACGAGAGCCUUGUGGUUUGGUGGAUAAGGAUGUGGGAUCUGAGGUUAAACUGAAUUUGGAGCUCAAUCCUGUCACUCACUGAUUGUGUAAUCUUGAACAUUACUUGAUGUCUCUGCGCUUCAAUUUCGUCAUCUGUAAAAAUGGGGUGAUAACAAUAAUAUCCACUCAGUAGUGUGGUUUGUAAGGACUAAAUGAGGGAAUACACAUAAAGUUCUCAAUAAAGUGGUGAAUACAUAGUGUUCAAUGGACAUUUUCCAGGAGUUUGUUCUCCCUAUAAAAGUUGGUCUUUUUGUGGGUAGAGAAAAGAUGUAUGGGUUGUAAAUUCCUUUCUUCUUAGCCACUUAUGUCUGGCUGAUUUGGAAAUCACUGCUUGUUUUAGAUCCCUGCCAGAUUUUACAUGUUCAUUUUUUUUUUCCUUUCAUGCAUCGUAGAAGAUUAAAAAUGCCCAUAAAUUCUUUGCUAAUUCACCCUUUGAGAAGAUUUUCCUUCUCUUGAAUAUAUGCUAGACUUAGUGACUUACUUGAUAAAUAGAAUAUUGCAGAGUGGGACUUUUAAGGCUAAAUAAAAGGAGUCUUGCAUCUUUUGUCCACAUCUCUUUGAAUGCUUCUCUGGGAGUCCUCAAGCAUCAAGUGAGAAGUCUGACUGCCUUGAAAUGUUGCAGAGGCCAUGUGUAGGCACUCUGGUCAUCAGAUCCAGCUAAGUCAAGUUUUCCAGUCAUCCCUGCCAAAGUAUCAGACAUCCAAGGAAAGCUGUUUUGGACCCUCCAGACCAAUCUGGAUAUCACUGAAGAUGCUUAGUUGACAGAAGAAUCUCCCAGCUGAGCCCUGCUUUAAUUCCUGACCCCCAAAAUUAUGAGAUAUAAUGAAAUGGUUGUUGUUUUAAGCCACUACAUUUUGGGGUAAUUUGUUACACAGCACUGGAUAACAGAAACAUGCAUUUAUUUAUUUUAAAAGAAACUCCUGUGCGAAAAACUCUUCUAGGUAGUGGGGAAUGAUGCAUCUAUGAACAACUUUAGCAUGAUCACUGAUCUCAUGAAGGUUACUGUCUUAGCCAGGGUUCUCCAGAGAAAUAGAACCAACAAGAUAAGUAUAUACAGGCAUGUAUAUAUAAAAGGAGAUUUAUUAUAGGAAUUGGUUCACAUAGUUAUGGAGGUCAAGAAGUCCAACAAUCUGCUGUUUGCAAGCUGAGAAACAAAGAAAGCCAGUGGUGGAAUUUAGUCAGAGGCCAAAGACCUGAGAAUUGGGGUAUGUGUGAGGGAAUGAGCAGAUAGUGUAAAUCCCAGUCUGAGUCAGAUAUCUCAAGAACCGGGAACACCAGUGUCCAAGUGUAGGAGAAAAUGGAUGUCUUAGCUCAAACAGAGAAAGCAAAU
rnacentral:lncRNA from 10 species